GUGACACCUUUUUCCGAAGCGAAUACUCGAACUCCUACUCCUGGAGCAUCACCUUUACCACCCAUACUUUGUACUCUAGACACAGCUAAAGAUCCUCCAGCACCUAGUUGACAAUAAUAAAUAUGCAUAAAAUAUGAUGACACCGUUUCCCGUUCCAAUCCACAGUCUGUUUGAAGAAAUGAGUAAUGCAGUGAUUCGUACAAAUGAAAACCCGAGUUUGCCAGUGCCGAGCAUUUUGCUGACAUAAGGCUCAAUGUCUACAUCUUGCAGAUGCUGAUAAGUGUGAGCAUGAUACAGCCUCAAUGUAGAAUCGAGUCGAAUGCUGACCCAAACUCCUUCUCCAAGCCAUGCUAAUUGUCUGACUUGAGACUCUCUCCUUGGAUGUGCGUCAACGGUACACUGAAAACCGAUUCCUAUUCCUUACUCUUAUAAUUUUAAUCUUUUGUGAUUUGUUUACAAAGUAAAUCAACAAGGUAAAUCAUAA